GCUCUUGUGCAGCGAUGACACAAACCUGUUGUUCGUUGCCAAAUGAAGGACGGCUCUUUCACAGUCCUUGGAGAAAGCAUUAGAGUCCUGUCUGCGCCUCCUGAGCCUAAUGAGGCCUGAUGAUGGCAAUGCUUCAUCUCAAGGUGGAACUGCAGAUUUCAGUCAGCAGCACAAACAAACUGACUGACUGCGUGACCUUCUCCUUUGACGACGGCGCAGUUGUUAGCAGCAUAAACAUGCUGCAGGUUAGAAACACAAUCAACAGGCGGUCUGAAGGAGGAACAGGAGUGAAAGUCUCUGCAUUUCCAUCACGAGUGUAACGCGCUGGUUUCUCCCUCCCAGUGUGGAUCUUCAGAAGAACGACUUCUUUAAAGAUAAACAAGGUUAACAAAAAGCAGUGAUGAAACCCGGCGCUGGCUCUGGACGCCGCAGAGACGAGAGAUUCUGGCUUUAACUGGACCAUUGCUUCAGGUUGCAUCAGAACGCGACUCUUUGAUGGUCUGACUGUUGUAUUAUUUAAACUGAUGAAAGGGGGAAAAGGGCACAAACAUUAUGAAUGGAGAUACAUUAAAUAAAGUCAACAUCUAAAGAUGGAAAAGAGUUCCCCCUCUAGAGGAGCAGAAGAGAUAUUUUUGAAGCUUCAGAGACGAACUCGGGUUGGUAGAAAAUCAGGGUUUUCUAAGAGGAUGAGAAAAAGAAACAAGCGUUAAAAACAAAUUCAUGUCCUGCUGAAAUAACCUUGGAGGAAAAGAUGUCUUCAUGUCCGAGACUCGGGUUUCUGCAGAGUUUAUGUGAAAGGUUACAUCCAGUAUCGCCCCAGCAGAGAUUAAUCUUAUGAUUUAUUCAUUUAUUUUCUUGGAGAUGCAGAAAUUUAACCUGUUUGUGUUGCUUUCAAUUAUGAAAGCUGAUCGUUUGUCAAGCUGUAGCUUCUGCACUGACAAAAUAAUAAAAUAAAAAAGCAACAAUCAAUCC